CAGUAGCCGCGGUAAUACGAAGGGUGCAAGCGUUAAUCGGAAUUACUGGGCGUAAAGCGCGCGUAGGUGGUUUGGUAAGAUGGAUGUGAAAUCCCCGGGCUCAACCUGGGAACUGCAUCCAUAACUGCCUGACUAGAGUACGGUAGAGGGUGGUGGAAUUUCCUGUGUAGCGGUGAAAUGCGUAGAUAUAGGAAGGAACACCAGUGGCGAAGGCGACCACCUGGACUGAUACUGACACUGAGGUGCGAAAGCGUGGGGAGCAAACAGGAUUAGAUACCCCGGUAGUCCCUGUCUCUUAUAA
rnacentral:rRNA from 1 species